rnacentral:rRNA from 2 species
UUUGAUCCUGGCUCAGGACGAACGCUGGCGGCGUGCCUAAUACAUGCAAGUCGAGCGGACAGAUGGGAGCUUGCUCCCUGAAGUCAGCGGCGGACGGGUGAGUAACACGUGGGCAACCUGCCUGUAAGACUGGGAUAACUCCGGGAAACCGGGGCUAAUACCGGAUAAUUCUUUCCCUCACAUGAGGGAAAGCUGAAAGAUGGUUUCGGCUAUCACUUACAGAUGGGCCCGCGGCGCAUUAGCUAGUUGGUGAGGUAACGGCUCACCAAGGCAACGAUGCGUAGCCGACCUGAGAGGGUGAUCGGCCACACUGGGACUGAGACACGGCCCAGACUCCUACGGGAGGCAGCAGUAGGGAAUCUUCCGCAAUGGACGAAAGUCUGACGGAGCAACGCCGCGUGAGUGAUGAAGGUUUUCGGAUCGUAAAACUCUGUUGUUAGGGAAGAACAAGUACCGGAGUAACUGCCGGUACCUUGACGGUACCUAACCAGAAAGCCACGGCUAACUACGUGCCAGCAGCCGCGGUAAUACGUAGGUGGCAAGCGUUGUCCGGAAUUAUUGGGCGUAAAGCGCGCGCAGGCGGUUCCUUAAGUCUGAUGUGAAAGCCCCCGGCUCAACCGGGGAGGGUCAUUGGAAACUGGGGAACUUGAGUGCAGAAGAGAAGAGUGGAAUUCCACGUGUAGCGGUGAAAUGCGUAGAGAUGUGGAGGAACACCAGUGGCGAAGGCGACUNUUGGUCUGUAACNGACGNNA